rnacentral:rRNA from 1 species
CACCGCCCGUCACACCAUGGGAGUUGAUCGCACCAGAAGCAGGUAGCCUGACCGCAAGGGGGCGCCUACCACGGUGUGGUCAAUGACUGGGGUG